rnacentral:rRNA from 1 species
CCUACGUGAGGCAGCAGUGGGGAAUAUUGCGCAAUGGGGGCAACCCUGACGCAGCAACGCCGCGUGAUUGAAGACGGCCUUCGGGUUGUAAAGAUCUUUAAUCGGGGACGAAUUUUGACGGUACCCGAAGAAUAAGCUCCGGCUAACUACGUGCCAGCAGCCGCGGUAAUACGUAGGGAGCAAGCGUUAUCCGGAUUUACUGGGUGUAAAGGGCGUGUAGGCGGGCAUGCAAGCCAGAAGUGAAAUCUGGGGGCUUAACCCCCAAACUGCUUUUGGAACUGCGUGUCUUGAGUGAUGGAGAAGUAUGCGGAAUGCGUGGUGUAGCGGUGAAAUGCAUAGAUAUCACGCAGAACUCCGAUUGCGAAGGCAGCAUACCGGCGCUCAACUGACGCUCAUGCACGAAAGUGUGGGUAUCGAACAGGAUUAGAUACCCCAGUAGUC